rnacentral:rRNA from 1 species
AGUGAACGCUGGCGGUAGGCCUAACACAUGCAAGUCGAACGGCAGCACAGUAAGAGCUUGCUCUUACGGGUGGCGAGUGGCGGACGGGUGAGGAAUACAUCGGAAUCUACUUUUUCGUGGGGGAUAACGUAGGGAAACUUACGCUAAUACCGCAUACGACCUACGGGUGAAAGCAGGGGAUCUUCUGACCUUGCGCGAUUGAACGAGCCGAUGUCGGAUUAGCUAGUUGGCGGGGUAAAGGCCCACCAAGGCGACGAUCCGUAGCUGGUCUGAGAGGAUGAUCAGCCACACUGGAACUGAGACACGGUCCAGACUCCUACGGGAGGCAGCAGUGGGGAAUAUUGGACAAUGGGCGCAAGCCUGAUACAGCCAUACCGCGUGGGUGGAGAAGGCCUUCGGGUUGUAAAGCCCUUUUGUUGGGAAAGAAAAGCAGCAGGUUAAUACCCCGCUGUUCUGACGGUACCCAAAGAAUAAGCACCGGCUAACUUCGUG